rnacentral:sRNA from 1 species
UUUAUGGUUGAGGGUUAUGGCAACACAAGGAACUGUAUUAAAGAGGUGCAGCACUAGGAAGGUUGAAAGCCAUGCUCUAGAUAGACUCUGCCCCAAUGUUCCUGGCCAUACCCGGGAGUGUCAGCAUGAAUGAAAUGUGUAUUUAAAGAAUGGCUUAGCAGGGCAUUCUGUGGUUUGAGGUCCCAUCAUCACUGAAGAGCUUACUGCCAAGAUCAGUAUAUAAUGCAGAAGCGAUAGGAGUCGAGUUCUCCACAAAAGCCAUUCACACCAGGCCUGGCAGGUAUCACACACCUCAGCCAAGACCACCAGAGACAGGAUGGCCUCUGCGUUGUUAACUUUCUGUUGCUGUAACCAAAAUGCCUGACAGAAACAACUGAAAGCCAAAAGGUUUAUUUGGCUCCUGGCUUUAGACAGGGUUUAGCCCUAUGUGUGUUCUUGUGGGAAUACCUCAGUCUGUCAUUGCUGGUAUUCAAAUGCUAGUGGAUUAUGAAGGAAAGAUGAUAAUCAUGAGUGGGUAUAGCCUUCAAAGUUUACUCCUACUAAUGCACUCCUGACAGCUAGGCACCACUCCUAAAAGAAUCACAUAGCCUUCUAGACUAUCAUCACCUGCCUUGGUGUGACUGUUACAAACAUUAGGCUUUGAGCAUAUAUUCCAAUGUCAGGUCCAAAGUUAUGGCUGUCUGUCUACCUGUGAGGUGCUCCAUGGGCACUUAUGCCAAUGGCAUUUUCUGAAGGACAUCCAAGAGCAGUGUCAAAUCAUAGGGUCUGGUCAAGAUUAGGAAACUCAAUGAUUAUGGGUUAGUGAAUGCUGGGUAACAGAAUCAUAUAGGAACGUGAGGGCUCUGAGUCUGUAGAACUUGGCCACAUGUCUUAUCAGAGGAGACCUGGCCAAAUUGUUUCCUCACAGGAGACUCAAACCCAUUCUCUUUUCUGAUCCCACUCUCUUGGCUGCAUCAGGAAAGCAGACUAGUCACAUUGGUAUAAAGUCCAAAAUCUGAAACUUGUAGUAUCUGGAGCACUGGGGGAAAGGGCAGAGGAAAGGCCACCUUUCAGUGAAUGCCCUUAUUCUGUACCCUGACGCAGCACUUAAUGCUCCUCCACAGGGAGAUAUUACUGAGUCGGAGGGCAAGAGACAUGGAAGGGUCUCAUCUAUGGGCAUCGUCUUCCCUCCUGCCAUGCCGGUUCCCCACAUGCCCGUUUCCCCCACAGAAACUGUUUGGAGAAGAGAGAGUGCAGCGCCAAGUUCCUGGUGCUGUCCAUCUUUGGGUGCCAGCAUCAUGCCACCCUUUUUUCUCAUCUGCCUUGCAACACAAGGGGAUUGUUCUCUGGGGAGGAGGGAAGCCAUGAAGCAAUUAUUGGAAGAAGAUGUAGACAGAUUUGCUUAUCCUCUUCCCUAUUCCUGCUGUCUUCAUGGGCUGUCCACCCCACAUUCUCCACAAGGGAAGCUCUCGCCUCACUGGGAAAAAAGGUGUUGGAAAACCAUUCGGGGGGUGCAGGGCGGGGGGCACAUCCCCUAAAAACACACUGGUUUCCAGGCUUCCACUGUAUUUUCUGCACGCACCUCAGCAGAAUUUCCUGUGGAUUUCAGAUCAUCCCUUAUUUCCAAUUACACUCUUGUUCACAUUAUCGAUUUGGAGAAUACAAAUGUUGAAUGACAAGAAAGGCAGAAGAAGGAGGGAGAGUGGGGGGAGAAGAAUUCCAUUUUGCCUGAAGGAGAAGAUGCUGAAAUGCCACCCCGCGCAGCAUCUCCGAAGCGUUCAUCAAUGUGGCAGAGGCUGGCUCAAUUAUCUUUGUGUCAGAUGAUUAUCUGAGAGCUUAAUUUAAUCUCCAUUAUCCUCCCCCGUCAUAUUUCAAUUAAAUCUGCUAUCAGAGUGUUAACACAUCUUUGAACCUGCUAUUUCUUCAGUUAAUUUUCCACUAAGAGGUGCUGGAGAGUAACAGAUGUCAUAAUUAUGCAAUUAUUAAGUGUAUCUGACACUCGUUCUCUCAGGAUUUUGUGGUCGGGGUAGGAGCGUUGGAAAAUUAAUCUGACGGCAAUAUGCUUCCGUUGUGAUCCGUAACACCACUGCAGGCUGGGGGCUGUCCUCCUGCUGUUCCUGAGGCUGCCACCAGGACAGACGCAGGGUUAACGGGAGUGUUCGUCGGGUCCCUUUCACUUUUGUACAUCUGGUGAGCUAGAUGAGUUCAUUAGGCCAGACGUUCAGAGGUGGCGUUGAUUUUUCUAACCUCCUACAAGUCCUCAGGAAGUCCAGCAACCUCUUUACGGUGGGAACUGGGGAUGGUGAUGUGACGGACAGUUAGCCUUGACUUUCCAACCAUACACUGGGAGUUGGCUAUGAGCCUUGAACAUGCCACAUCUUCUCUCUGUACUUCGGUUCCACAGUGAAUGAGCAGGUGGUUCUGUAAACCUCUGCUGCUCCCAAGCACUUCAUAAAAAUCCUUAAAAAGCUAUAUAUCUUCUCUCUUUAGCAUAUGCAUACCAGGGAGAUAGAAAGUAGAUAAAUUUAAUCUUAAAUAUCUGUCAAAGGCUCACACGUAACAAUCCAUGGCACAUCCUUUCCCUUCUGUUCUUGCUUUCUGAUGUCCAUGAUCGGAGCACCUGGGCUCUGUCACAUUACCACAUGCUCGCACAAUGCUCUGCUUUGCCAUAGCUCAACAGACUAAUCAACCAUGGAGUUUCUAUGACAGUGAAGCAAAGUUAACUUGCAGAAGUAUUCUUUCUCUUUCUCCAUCUCCUCCUUCUCCUUCCUUCCCUUCCUCCCUCUCCUUCUCUGCCACACACACACUCUUCUAGCUGUUUACAUUCGCAAAAUUGUUCGGUUUGAAGUCUCUGUACAUAGCAUAUGGUCAUUAAGACCAAAUGGUCAUCAGGACUUCAAAUCAUGAUUCUGACAUUUGCUAAUUAGUAACCUUUGGUAGGUAGAUUACCCUUCUUAUCCUCCAUUUCUUUUCCAAGGGCACAGUGAUGACAUUAUAAGACUAAUUUCAAAAGAUUGGGAGGAUUAAAUAAAAUAUUAUAUUUGCUACUGACUCUUUGUAUACUUGGUUCAUGUGUAGGAAAGGUGCUAGAAAUUAUACAGGAAGUUGAGGUUAGGAAUAGAUAUGUAGACUGGAUAUGACACUGUGUCUUUGAGAAUUUCUCUCUGGUCUGUCAUAAUGUUUUGAAAACUCCCCAAAACACUACUGUGUCCAUGAAGACUAUCAAGCCAUGGCAUGAGAUCAAGGACCAAGCUCUGAAGAGACUUGACAAAGCACAAUUCCUCUUAGUGAUAUCAUGUAGUCCACAAUGCUUCCUCCUUCCAGUCCAGAGCCACCUGGUCUCCUCACCCCUGUGAUUCAGUCACAAGGCUGGCAAACCGUUCUCAGAUUGCUGGGCCCUCAUCAAAUCCUUUCCACAGCACUGCCCACAUGGAUGACAGUUAGGAAACUCUUGCCUACAGCACAGGUGACAUGUUUGCAAGUGUGGCUCAGAGCUCUUCAUUCAAUGGGAAUCUUAGAUUAUAGAUUACACCCUUGCUCCAACAUGAACCAUGUUAACCAGGUCCUAGUUAACAUGAUAUGAGAAGAACCACUCAUUGUGUGUAUGGUCCUCUGUUCCCAAGGACUUUUGAGAUGGUUCUGGGCUCCCAUAGAAUACCUGUGGAAAGGAUCAUUGCAGGGGCCAUAGGUUUGCUCAACUACUUCUUUUAGAGCUCUGUCCUGAGAAGGAAUGUGAGCAUUGCUAUCCAUCCCAAAUGUCACUGCAGGUCCCUAGCAAUCACUACUGGAAAGGCCAAUUUAGUUGCAUCUCCUCUUUCUGCGUCCAAAACACAGUGACCUGAACUCCUUGGUGGUUUUAGUUUCAAGUCUGUAGGAUGACCAGCCUAGAAAUCCAGAGAACCUGCUAAUCUAGUAAUCUAGCCUUCAUGCAACACUCAAGGGUUGAGAUACAGACUCGUCACUCCGCAGUAGAAACGAAAGACACAUUCUUCACAGAGCAUUUGAGAAGCAUCUGCAAGAGGCUCCCAGCCCAAGAAGGAAGUCCCAGAAGUGCCUAGGUCAAGAAUUUGUAACGGGCUGGGUGGGGGCCUCUGAAGUCGGAGCAUACCGCCGAUUAUCACUCUGGCUUCCCUCUGUCUACAUGUUGAGUCAGGGAGAUGGGGACUAUAUCUUCAUCAUCCACACCUCAGUGAGCUUUAGAGCAACUUACAGGGGUAUGGCUUUAGAGACAGCAAACACUUGCAAGGAAUGCACCAUCUUUUUUUCCCCCCAAGGGUUUCCAUGCCCAGCACACUGCUGUCAAAAUGGUCUCUCUAACCCUGCCUCACAACUCUCUUUCUCAGCUGCUUUCCUCUCUCCCUGGCUUUUCUUUUUCUCUCUCUACUUUAACUUCUUAUAUUCUGCAAAGCAAUUGAGCAAAAGACUGCUCUGUGGAAGGUUUCAUCUACAAGAAAUUACUAUUUUUAUGUUCCCUCCCUUAGGGUAUGUUCAAAUACAAUCCAUACUUUUGUGGGCAUUUUUUCCCUAUAAUAUUUGUAGCCAGAAUGUGGAACCAGCUUCAAGAAAAUUAAACAGAACAAGGAAAGCCAUGUGCCCCACAAUUAAAGGAAACACUCAGAGUGGCAGUAGGCGCCCAACAGGACAGCAGGCUUUGCCAAGCAGUCAGUGCGCAGCCAGAAAACACGCCAAGCCUCCCUGAUUUGCAAAGGUUUUUUUCCAUAUUUAGGUAAAUUAAUGUAAUUAUUUAAUGCCUCCUACAAUGGUAAUAGGAUUGUGCUUGGGCCCUUUCGACAUAUGGUGCUGGCAAAAGAAUCCUCUUUGAGGGAGGGAGAAUGAAAGGCCAGAUCACAGUUGCUGGUUUUGAUGUUGGAGGUCUGCUUGGCCCUUGGCCGGCUUGGGGUGUGAAAGAACUGGGCCAAUGGAUUAUGGUCCCUUUCACAAGCCAGUGGGCACAGCAGGCACAUAUGCCACCCACUGCCAGGAUCCAUGCUUGGUCCCCAGCAGUCCUGCAGGCUCAUUAGGGAAGUCUGACUUUUGGAUUUGGGACCCACCCGUGUACAGCAUCUUCACUAGGACUUAAAUGAAAAGAGGUGACUGAGUUCUUUUUCUUUCUCUCCCUCACUUUCAAGGAUAUCGGCCGUUUCAGUCUGUUUCCUAUUGCUGCAACAGAAUACUUGAGACAAGGCAGAUUCAAGAAUAAGCUUGUUUCAAAGAGGGUCGCCUCUCAUUCCCUUCAGCCUUGCCCCGAGUAGCCCCACAGAGAUGGAAAUCAAAGGACCACAUUGUCAAACAUGGAGGGGAAGGCACAUAUAUGGAACCAUGGACUGCAGCUUCCAAAGCACAAUUUCUCAGAUCCCAGGCCAAGAUUGGAGCUGGACUCAUGACUGGACCAAGAAGUUUCCCCCUUGACCAGGAUCCCCAAAUCUAAAGGUCAGACAGAGUCUCUGCUAACAGAGGCUGGGGACUGUCUGGUACUGGUACAGGCCCCAGUGAAUACCAAAAGGAAAGUGAACAUCUGAAACGUUCACGGAAAUGGCAUGUGUCCACAACAUAUAAGCAUUCAUUAUUCAUGAGCACGACUUAUUAAGGCAUGCAUUUUGUUAUUAAAUUUAACAAAAGCAUCUGUCCUUACAGGAUUGAGAAACAGCCCCAGAUUAUCUGAGACCCCUUGGCCUCAGCCAGCAGAUGAGACCUGAGCUGGGGUCUAAGACACCCAGGGAGAGAUAAAUACCAAACAGAAUGAAGUGGUACAACAAUUUUCCUAUUAGAUAGCACAGGACUGGGGGUGACAAAAGUUUCAUAGGAAUCAAGAGGAGGUAACAUGAGAAGGUCAAAGGUCACAUAUGUGUAUGCGUUUUGAUGUAUUUAGCUAUUA